ncrna:unclassified sequences DTF3800-I RNA
UUUAAAUACCAGAAGGUUUUAUCCUUCGUUCGGUCGAUAGCUAGAUAAUGAUUGAAAAAUUAAGCGUAUGUUAAGUACGUCAUUCUAGCUGGGAAGAGGCUACUUUAGUAACCUCUUUUCAUUUAGGU